rnacentral:misc_RNA from 1 species
GGUUUAUCACCGGCAGUCUCUCUAGAUGUUUCCGGGUGAUGUCAAACCCAGGUAAGGUUCUUCGCGUUGCAUCGAAUUAAUCCGCAUGCUCCGCCGCUUGUGCGGGCCCCCGUCAAUUCCUUUGAGUUUUAGCCUUGCGGCCGUACUCCCCAGGCGGGGCGCUUAAUGCGUUAGCUACGGCACAGAACGAACAAACGCCGCCCCACACCUAGCGCCCACCGUUUACAGCAUGGACUAC